UCCAUAAGAGCUAUAGCCAGAUCAAGCCCCUGAAAAAAAUGGUUUAUGUUAAAAGAUACAACGCUGUGAAUCACUUGAGAAAACAACAGCCUUCAAAAACAAAUGGCAAUAUUGAAAGCUUGCUGGUACAGUCAGUACUGAACUGGCCUCGGUGAGAGACAAUGCCAGCAUGCUCUAGCACUGCCACAAAAGGUGCUGAGCCCGCAACCUCCUCAGCUAUGAUGAAAUGAGCUAGCCAAUGUUACAGCGAAAGGCCACCAUCCUUACGAUGAGAACCAUCUAUAGGAGGUUACCGAAGCCAUAUAUUGACCACACAUGAAUCACAUAGAGGUUAUUCCGGCUGCAGAUUCAUGGAAGUAGGAUCCAAACUACUUAGAAUUAUGGUAGAAAUACUUGGAAAUUUUUUUAAAUUUUUCAUUGGCUCAGUGUGGUUGGAAUUUGAACCCAGAUUUUCUACAAGACCAGCUGCUUUUCCUCAUUCUAAUGUACAGUGGUACUAAAGUUCACUUUUUCAAAUUAAAAAAAAAAAUACUUUCUCCUUAUUUGCUACUAUUGCCUGUAAUCUGACAAAUAUUUGAUAAAACGUCAAGUGAAAGUUAAGAAAUGUUCUUCGAUUACAGCACAGCAAAUUUGAAUGGAA